rnacentral:rRNA from 1 species
AAUUUUUAUGGAGAGUUUGAUCCUGGCUCAGGAUGAACGCUGGCGGCGUGCCUAAUACA